rnacentral:rRNA from 1 species
UGGGGAAUUUGGACAAUGGGCGAAAGCCUGAUCCAGCAAUGCCGCGUGUGUGAAGAAGGCCUUCGGGUUGUAAAGCACUUUUGUCCGGAAAGAAAUCCUUGGCUCUAAUACAGUCGGGGGAUGACGGUACCGGAAGAAUAAGCACCGGCUAACUACGUGCCAGCAGCCGCGGUAAUACGUAGGGUGCAAGCGUUAAUCGGAAUUACUGGGCGUAAAGCGUGCGCAGGCGGUUUGCUAAGACCGAUGUGAAAUCCCCGGGCUCAACCUGGGAACUGCAUUGGUGACUGGCAGGCUAGAGUAUGGCAGAGGGGGGUAGAAUUCCACGUGUAGCAGUGAAAUGCGUAGAGAUGUGGAGGAAUACCGAUGGCGAAGGCAGCCCCCUGGGCCAAUACUGACGCUCAUGCACGAAAGCGUGGGGAGCAAACAGGAUUAGAUACCCUGGUAGUCCACGCCCUAAACGAUGUCAACUAGUUGUUGGGGAUUCAUUUCCUUAGUAACGUAGCUAACGCGUGAAGUUGACCGCCUGGGGAGUACGGUCGCAAGAUUAAAACUUAAAGGAAUUGACGGGGUCAUAGCUGUUUCCU